rnacentral:misc_RNA from 1 species
AAUUCUCAACCAUGUCUUGAUUGAUUUCGAGGCAUGGCUUGGAGUUGGGGGUUGCUGGCGGCGAAACGCUGUCAGCUCUCCUGAAAUGCAUUAGCAAAGGGCGGCGAGUCUUUUUGGACGUGCACGGCCUUCGACGUGAUAAUGAUCGUCGUGGCUGGAGCGUUCGGGGGGACAUGCAUGAAUCGUCCGUUGCUUCCAAUCCUUAUCCCUAGCCUUAAGUCACUCAGCUACUAGUUCGGUCGUGAGCCCGGGCGAACGUUGGGCGGCCAAGGCUUGGCUGUUUUUCGAU